GAUGAAGAACGUAGCGAAAUGCGAUAAGUAAUGUGAAUUGCAGAGUUCAGUGAAUCAUCGAAUCUUUGAACGCACAUUGCGCCCGCCAGUAUUCUGGCGGGCAUGCCUGUCCGAGCGUCAUUUCAACCCUCGAACCCCUCCGGGGGGUCGGCGUUGGGGAUCGGCCCUGCCUUUGGCGGUGGCCGUCUCCGAAAUACAGUGGCGGUCUCGCCGCAGCCUCUCCUGCGCAGUAGUUUGCACACUCGCAUCGGGAGCGCGGCGCGUCCACAGCCGUUAAACACCCAACUUCUGAAAUGUUGACCUCGGAUCAGGUAGGAAUACCCGCUGAACUUAAGCAUAUCAAUAAGCGGAGGA
rnacentral:misc_RNA from 1 species